CGAUUUGUGCGCUGGUGAUUUACCUGCUUUUAUCUAUUGGAUUUUUCUGGCUAUUCCCUGUUCAGAUUUUCCAUUCUUUUCUGAACGAGUGUAGGGAAUAGCCAGCUUUUAUUGAGGGAGACCCCCUUGGGGUACUCCGGCCUUGUGCCGGGCCCUCCAUUUCGCCCAGAAGCCAAAGUCAUCUCAGGCUUCUGGUCCCAAGAGACAUCAUCUGGGAAACUUCUUUUUAGAGGUUGCUGUAGUGCAAGGAAAAUGCCAUUCCUUCAGUUGCUGUGCUAUGCCCUGGAGGACUUCAGGGAAGAAAAUAACAAUUUUGACCACCUGCUUUCCUGUUAUGGUAAAAUUCUACAUUAAUAAUCAUUUCCUUAAUCAUUAAUUCUUUAAUUUCUGCUUGUCAAGUGAAUAUGAGGU